UGGGGAAUAUUGCACAAUGGGCGCAAGCCUGAUGCAGCAACGCCGCGUGAGGGACGACGGCCUUCGGGUUGUAAACCUCUUUUAGCAGGGAAGAAGCGAAAGUGACGGUACCUGCAGAAAAAGCGCCGGCUAACUACGUGCCAGCAGCCGCGGUAAUACGUAGGGCGCAAGCGUUAUCCGGAAUUAUUGGGCGUAAAGAGCUCGUAGGCGGUUUGUCGCGUCUGCUGUGAAAUCCGGAGGCUCAACCUCCGGCCUGCAGUGGGUACGGGCAGACUAGAGUGCGGUAGGGGAGAUUGGAAUUCCUGGUGUAGCGGUGGAAUGCGCAGAUAUCAGGAGGAACACCGAUGGCGAAGGCAGAUCUCUGGGCCGUAACUGACGCUGAGGAGCGAAAGGGUGGGGAGCAAACAGG
rnacentral:rRNA from 2 species